CGCUCUGACUCUCAUUCACUGCAGAGUCCCACACAGUCAAGGACCUGAGCGCACUGCUGCAACACACACGGGCUCUCUCUGGAUAGCACCACCACCACACGGACACCUUGUGAUUUUUCUUUUUUUCUUUCCACCCAAGAGGAUCUUGCUCGUUUGGAUUAUAUUCCUCCUCCAGGACUAUUAAAUACUAUCACAUAAAUCUAAUUCUAACAAUCUAAUUCUAACAGCUGCGCUCCUUUGUUUGAUAUUUCAGUGAGCUGCAGGAAGUUUGUAAAGAGGGUGAAGGACAAGUGCAAUGCGCUUCAGACUUGUCUCUUGGGAUUGUCCCACUUGAGGAUCUGCUGCAGUCCAAUGUGAAUAACAAGCCUCUUCAGAUUUUUUUUCACACACGUUGCAAGAAGAAGAAAAAGCAGAGCAAGUGCAGCAGGCGUCGCUCGGAGUGUGAGUGAGCCCGCCCUGAGGGGAUGGUUGUGGAUCCUGCGGGGCCAGGAGCGAUUCUGCGGCUCCUACAGAAAAGCACCUUUUUCUUGUGCGGGGUUACAUCGAAAUUAAAGGGAGAUGAGAGCCGCACUUUAUUACUUCCUGCUGUGGACGACGUACCUGCUGCUGGCCACCUCUGAGGAAGUGGAGUUUCCCCAGGAGCUGAUAGACAGACUGUCCCACAGUGAAAUCCACAGCAUCAGCGACCUCCAGCGGCUACUGGACAUUGACUCCGUAGGUACGGGAAACAAUGUUAUCGAGGAGCCCAAACACCACAAGCACCACAACAACCAUAAGAACUACUCCCGUCACCAUGGUUACUACAACGACCUGAAGAACUCCCAGCUCCACAGCCGACGCAAGAGGAGCAUCGCGGAGGAGGCGGUCCCGGCGGUGUGUAAGACGCGGACGGUGAUCUACGAGAUCCCCAGGAGCCAGGUGGAUCCCACGUCGGCCAACUUCCUGAUAUGGCCGCCCUGUGUGGAGGUGAAGCGCUGCACGGGUUGCUGCAACACCAGCAACAUGCGCUGUCAUCCCUCCCGCAAGCACCACCGCACCGUUAAGGUAGCAAAGGUGGAGUACGUGAGGAGGAGACCCAAGCUGAAAGAGGUCUUUGUGCGGUUAGAAGACCACCUGGAGUGCGUGUGCACGUCACAGCAUCAUGUGGUGGAGCACUCAGAUGCAGAAACAGGCCACCGUAGGGCUAAAGGUAAAAAAAGGAAACCUAAAAAGCUAAGGCCCAGCAAGGAUUUAUUGGCGACAUAAUAAAGUCGCACUCAUUACCCAAAGUCCACUGGAGAGCUGUGAAGGGAACAGUGGACGUGAGGUGAGACCAAUCAGAACAAGGGAUUUCAGCGUGGGAGGGACCUAAAUAGAGGACGCCACCAACAGGAGACCUGCUCUGUCCUCUUCCCCACUGCCAUGCAACCUUCGUUUUUAAAAAGACAAACUUUUCCGUUAAGACGAGAAAAUGGACAACAGACAAAAAUAAAUAAGAUGCCAAAGGUGGUUUUUUUUAAAACAAAAAAAAAACAGUGACUUCCUGUGUUGGUACGCCACCUACCCAGACAACUGCCGCUGAUUGAGAAGAGAAAGAUGCUGUAGCUCGGGCACGGCGGAGAGAGAGGCCGAAGGGAGAUGAUGAAAGGGAUUUGUGUUGAACAUUUCGAGACUUUGUUUGAAUAAGACGCACAACAGAAACGGUUGGAUCGAGAUUUUCGUGGAAAUGUGGUGCUCAGACUCCAAAACAGCGGUGGAUGACCUCCAGCUGGGCGACAUAAAAGCGCCCUGCCCUGUUUCAAAGACAUACACAGGAAGAAAGAAAGAGAGAAAAACAAUGGAAAGAGAGAGACAAAUGGAGGUGUUUUUCUCUUCUUCAAAAGACUCUAUGGAGUAUCAAACAUUUUGAGUGUUUGGAUGUUUGCUCUGAGGAAAUCUUCUCCGAGACCCCGUGGUGGUCCGUGACUUUGCCCACUCGCUAUGUACUGUUAAAUCUGAAAAGCAAGAUGCGCCGCUACUUACAAACUAUUUAUAUGUGUGGACGUUUGUUUCCAGUCUCUUCCAGUACAAAACAAAGAACAAAAAAAAAACAAUGAUUUUGGAAACAUGCAAGUGUGAUCCGGUUCUUUGUAACCAUCAGCAUCACAAUCUCAUUUUUUUUUUUUUAGUCAAUGUUAUUGUUGUCAUCCAUGUUUCUUAUUAUAUUACAGUAUAUCUGAAUGAUGUCAAGUCUUGUAUAUGGUGUGGAUAUAUGUGUGCAAGGAGGAGAUGUGAGAGUCAGUACAGGAAGAUGCUUUAUUUUUGUUAUGAAAUAUAUUAAGCUUACUUAUAUCCGAGCAGGAAUUAUGUUUAUUUCUUUUUGUUUUGUGGUUGAAUGCUGGUAUUUAAUCCGUUGGAGAAGAUGCAAAAAAAUAAUGUGGGGCAGGAGGUGUGGGGGGGAUGGAGUGGCUCAAACAUGGCAACGUCAGCCAUGAUAAACACUGCCCAGUCCUUUAUGUAACACAAACAUGCACAUUAAAGUGUGUUCAUGCCAAUCACACAACUCUAGUGAGGCGGUCUAGACAGGGUUUCUAAUUUCUGUCCUACAUGAGGCUAUUUUUCCACCCAUAUCACUCUUGACAUUGAUAAGGAAGAUGCCCGCCCGCUCUCCGCUUCACAAGCACACACGUUGUGUGCCUGCAACGAGCAAAGUCCACCUUAAAGAGUGAAUGAAAGCAAAUCGACAAGUGCAUGAAUGGACUCCUUGUUUGGUUAGGCUUUACUCCGAAUAAAUCUCCGAUCGCUCCACCCGGUGAAGGUACUCACACCUCAUGCAUGCCACAUGCCUUUAGGACAGAUGAUGAUGGAGGUGGCCCUGAAAACAACGCAGCGUUGGCCUGAACCCGUGCGGCCCCGACAGAACAAACAACUACUUCCUUACCGGUUCCUGUAAACAGUGAUGAAUGUGUAACCAGGCCAACGCAGUACAAAAACAACGUCCGUCUUCCACCCAAUGAGGAAGUCAAAGGCGAGAGAGUGAGUCACCGUUCACUGUGAAGUGAAAGUCAAGUGAGACAAGUUUGAUGGCAGAUCACACACAGCCCACCUGUGAAUUAACUAACCAUCGGUUGACUGGUGCUAUAUUUAUAAGGCUGAUGUUUCAUCACUGUUCACACAUUCAAUGUUAAGAUAGUGUUCUCAGUAAACCAGGGACCACGCUUAGAGCUAUCUGAUUAAAGGAAAUGCCAUUACCUGCUAUCACCAAGCCUUUAUUACUUUUUUCUCUUGGGCUUCCAUUUGGAUAAAGACAGCAAUAAUCAUAAUUUAUAUAUUUAUGUUUCCAACAAUAAAUAUAUUUCUGCUUAUGAAAUUGUUCA